GAUUAAGUUAUUAAGGGCGCACGGUGGAUGCCUUGGCACUAGAAGCCGAUGAAGGACGUUACUAACGACGAUAUGCUUUGGGGAGCUGUAAGUAAGCUUUGAUCCAGAGAUUUCCGAAUGGGGAAACCCAGCAUGAGUUAUGUCAUGUUAUCGAUAUGUGAAUACAUAGCAUAUCAGAAGGCACACCUGGAGAACUGAAACAUCUUAGUACCCGGAGGAAGAGAAAGAAAAUUCGAUUCCCUUAGUAGCGGCGAGCGAAACGGGAAGAGCCCAAACCAACAAGCUUGCUUGUUGGGGUUGUAGGACACUCUAUACGGAGUUACAAAGGACGACAUUAGACGAAUCAUCUGGAAAGAUGAAUCAAAGAAGGUAAUAAUCCUGUAGUCGAAAAUGUUGUCUCUCUUGAGUGAAUCCUGAGUACGACGGAGCACGUGAAAUUCCGUCGGAAUCUGGGAGGACCAUCUCCUAAGGCUAAAUACUCUCUAGUGACCGAUAGUGAACCAGUACCGUGAGGGAAAGGUGAAAAGCACCCC
rnacentral:rRNA from 1 species